GGCGUCCUGGAGGCGGUGCCUUGAGUGGGGGCAGGAUAAGAGUCCUGGAGGCGGGCAUUAGGGCGGGGAUAAAUGCCAAUGGGUUCAGGAAGCGGGACUCAGAGCAGAGCCCAGGAGACAGGUCUUAGGGCGGGGCUAAGGCCAGACCCAGAGAAGGUCUCAGGAGGCGGGGCAGGGGCGGGGCGUUGACUAUGUCGUAGCACAUGGCCAGGCGGUGCGUGGACUCUGGGAGGCGAAGCUUAGGACGGGCCCACGUGGGGAGGAGCCCAGGGUCCGGGAAGCGGGGACGAGUCCGGGCUGGGCUGCGCUCAGGAGGCGGGCCCUCGGAGGCGGAGCUUAGGGAGGGGCCGGUGUCGGGAGGGACCCAGGGACUGGGAGGCCGGUCGGGGCUGGGCUCGGGGGCCGAGACCUAGCUGGGCUUGGGGCGGGGCCGAGACGGAGCGAGGGGUCCAGGGUGUGGGAAACGGGGAGGGAUUUGAGGAGGGGAUCGGAAUGUGGCUCAAGUUCGGGAGGCGUUACCUGCGGAGGGUUUGAGGCAGGCCCAGGAGCGAGCCCAUGGUCUUCCGACGCGGGGCCGGGGGCGGGCCCCAGGAUCCGGAGCUUCGGGCGGGGCCGAGUCCGGGUUUGGGGCCCGGGAGGCGGGGCCAGUUAGGGCGAGGGUCCCUGGGAUCGUCGGGUCAGGCCUUGGGCUAACGUAGGCACUCUCGCAGUUCCUCCGCCUUCGGAAGGUCUUUUUAGCAGGGGCCUUACGGGUGCAUGCUUCGGUCCUGGAGGCCUUAUCCUAGCCUCCUCUCCAUCAGCGCCACCCGUCUGGGGCCCGAAAGGAGGGGCUUUCCCUCUGUCCCCCAGCCUUUGGACUGUCACCAAACAAGCCAUUUGUUCAUCAAAUACUUUUUAAGCGCCUACCAUGUGCCUGACAAGGGAGAUGUAAUGGUGAGAAAAACUAGGUGUGGUCCAGGCCCUUCAGAGGCUCAGGGGCUCGUGGAAGAAGUGGACAUUGAAGUACUUAUCACACAAAUGAGGAUAAAAGUACGAUAGCGAUAUCUACCACGAAGCUGUUGUUCCACACCAGAACCAAAUGAGCGCAAGAUCUGACAAAGAAAAAAAAAGAUUCAUCUUUUAUUCCUCCAAACACUUUCAUUUAAAUCAAGAGGAUGGGAUGUGGUUAUUGCUGUGUUUUUAGACAGAAUCAACGGUUUCUGGGUCUGAGAUGUUGCAUACACCCUCUCAGUCCCUGUAUCCUGAGAGGGAGUCACCUGAGAAUCCACAGCAAGUCCUAACCAGGGAUGGGUCUGGGUGAUUAAGGAAGAUUGGCUUCAGAACUGGGCCAGGGGCACUGCUUUGCUUUUGCUGUUUUGAUCAGCUCUCUGCCUGCAGGAGACAAGGAAAACCAAUGGGAACAGGUUAGUUAUACUCAUAAAUCCUGGGCUUAUUUUAUUAACUCACAUAAUAGCUAUUAAUUGUCUUUCCUCCAAGGAGCAAAAGGGCAUAUACGGUCAAUGUCAUAGUAAGUAACAUUGUAUUAUGUUAUACUAAAAUAUUAAUAAAUCUAGGUUGGUUCAGUCUUUCCUGAGUCCACAGAUUGGAAGCAGAUUGAGGAAGGAAACUAGCGGACCACAGAGCUGAGCCAUGCACACAGAAGAAAUCUUUUUUUCUUUUUUUCUGGAGACGGAGUUUUGCUCUAGUUGUCCAGGCUGGAGUGCAAUGGUGCGAUCUCGGCUCACUGCAAUCUCCACCUCCCAGGCUCAAGCGACUCUCCUGCCUCAGCCUCCCGAGUAGCUGGGAUUACAAGCGUGAGCCACCCUGCCGGGCCACUUUUGUAUUUUUAGUGGAGACAGGGUUUGAACACCUUGGCCAGGCUGGUCUCAAAUUCCUGACCUCAGGUGAUCCACCCGCCUCUGCCUCCCAAAGUGCUGGGAUUACAGGCGUGACCCACCGCGCCUGGCCAGAAGAAAUCUUUAUCUUGGUGUGCAGUGUCUGGUGAUGGACAAAUGUCAUCUCUCUUGGAUCUGAAUCUGGAAGGAUCAAGGCACUGAAGGAAUUUUUUUUUUUUUUUUCAGACAGUCUCCCUCUGUUGCCAGGUUGGAGUGCAGUAGCACGAUCUCAGCUCACGGCAACCUCUGUCUCCCGGGCUCAAGAGAUUCUCUUGCCUCAGCCUCUCGAGUAGCUGGGACUACAGGCACGCGUCACCACACCCAGCUAAUUUUUGUAUUUUUAGUAGAGACAGGGUUUUACCAUGUUGGCCAGGAUGGUCUCAAUCUCUUGACAUCAUGAUCCACCUGCCUUGGACUCCCAAAGGGCUGGGAUUACAGGUGUGAGCCACCAUGCCCGGCCUCACUGAAGGCAUUUUUUUAAUGUCACGUGGCUCUCACAGGUGCGGUGUGUUCAGGAGCAAGUGAAGAUUACGACUGACGCUUAAAAACAAACGUAAAAUUCCAGGUGGUGUUGUUAUGGGUAGCAGUAUUAGGACAAACUGAGUGGUUUCAGUGGCAAGAGUGUGCGUGUACGUGCAAGAACUACAGUCAAGAUUCAACUUCUGGCUUUGAGGGUCUCUUUAAUAACAGUAUCAACAACCUAAGGCAGUUUAACAGUAUGGAAUGGUUGCCUUUUAGAAGUUAAGCUAUGGGCAUGGAAGUUCAAUCAGUACAUUGAAGUUUUUCCUUUAUCUCUCCUAUGGUUAAUGGUUUCUGCAGAAAAGGACCAAUUGAUUUCUUUCUAAAACGUUGCUUCAGGGUGUAGAGACCUUUAUAGGUCAUGUUUCAACUUACAGAACAUUUUUAUAGUUCAAAUAUAAAUUAAGUUCAAUAUGGACUUUGUAACAGAAUUUAAGGUUAAGUAAAAUCUCCACUUUCCUUAGGCUGUUUACAGUGCCCAGCAGGUCCCAUGAUAUGGAGCUGGAAGUUAUGUUAAAGGAGGAGAUUGGUCAGGGAUGGGCAGAAUAAGGAAUAUGGGCAGCUCAGGCUAAUGAUACAAUGAUUUUAAUGUAGAAAGAGGGUCAGGCAUGGGAUAACACCUGUAAUCCCACUGCCUUUGGAGGCCAAGACAAGAGAAUCGCUUGAGGUCAGACCAGCCUGGUCAACAGAGUGAGACCUAACCUGUACAAAAAAAACCACAAAAAAACAAAAAAAUUAGUUGGGCAUGGUGGUGUGCGCCUGUAGUCUCAGCCACUUGGAAGGCUGAGGUCAGGGGAUGCCUUGAGCCCAGGAGUUUGAGGCUGCAGUGAGCUAUAAUCACAUAACUGUACUCCUGCCUGGGUGACAGGGUGAGGCCGUGACUCAAAAAAAAAAUUGAGUCAGGGAAAAAAUUUGAAAUCUAAAUCCUCAGUACUGAGGAAUGUGACCUUAUUUGGAAAUAGGGUCUUUCUAGAUGUAAUCAAGUAACGAUGAGUCAUCCUGGAUUGGGGGCUGCUGGUGAGGGGGCAGAUGCAAUGACUGGUGUCCUUAUAAAAGAAGAGAAUGAGGGCCGGGCAUGGUGGCUCAUGCCUGUAAUCUCAACACACAUUGGGAGGGUGAGGUGGCGGGAUCAGUUGAAGUCUGGGGUUCGAGACCAGCCUGGGCAAUAAUAACAAUAAAAAAGCCAUUUUAGAUUCCAAUCCACUGAAAGAAAACUGUCCCUUAGUUAAUGUCAUGAUUAUUGGAUCCAUGAAGUCUUUGAAAAUUUAAACUACAAGGACACUGCUCUCUGAGGUGGUGGAAAGAAUACAAAGGAUUUAAAGGUCUUUAAGAAAGAGAAUGUAGAAAGCGUACUCAUUGGAAACAGCAGGAUGAUGAUAAUCGUACUGACAGCAAUAAUAAGCUCAAAUAUAUAGAGCUUACUAUGUAUCAUGAAUUGUUCUGAAUGCUUUAUAUAUAUAUGUUACCUCGUUUACCCUCACGGCAGCCCAGUAAAGGCGCCAUUCCCCAUUUUACAGCUGGGGAAACUGAGUUACAGAGCUUUUCUGCACUGAGUCAUCAGGAGCAAAUUGUAGAUCAGGUAAUUGAACCCAAGCAAUCUAGUUCCAGAGCCAAAUAGAUGUAUUUUUUAUGGUAUAAAUACAUAUACAUACACUUUUAGGGGAAGGGUGGGUGUAGGAUGGGAUGAGGAUUCUGGGUAAUUGCUUGGUAAAUGGCAAAUACCUUUCUUGUCUGUCCCUCUUUUCAAAUGAUAAAGUAAUUUCAAUUGCAACACUUUUUUUUUUUUUUUUUUGAGACAAGGUCUAGCUGGAGUACAGUGAUGCAGUCAUAGCCCACUGCAGCCUCAAAUUCCUGGGCUCAAGCGAUCCACCCACAUCAGCUUCCCAAGUAGUUGGGACUACAGGCCCACACUACUAUGCCCAGCUAAUUAUUUUAAUUUUUAUAGAUAUGGCAGGUGGGGGUGGGGCUGUCUUGCUGUGUUGCCCAGGCUGGUCUCGAACUCUUGACCUCAAGUGAACCUCCUGCCUCAGCCCCACAAAGCUCUGGAAUUAUAGGUGUGAGCCACUGUGGCUGGCUACAAUGCUAUUUAUUUAUAUUUUAGACCAACACAUAUUCUAGCAUCUAAGAAAUGUGAUGCUCUCUGUACAUUGAAGAGCUGGUCUAAUAUUUGGCCUGGGGCAUACAGAAAUUGCCUGUCUGCUCCGCUCUGGUUGAAGAAACCAGUCGGACUGUCUCUGAGGCUAUGGAGCAGUCCAUCAAGAAUGAAAGCCCUCUGCCAGGCACGUUGGCUCACACCUGUAAUACCAGCACUUUGGGAGGUCGAGGCAGGUGGAUCACUUGAAGUCAGGAGUUCGACACCAGCAUGGCCAACAUGGUGAAACCCUGUCUCUACAAAAAAUAGAAAAAUUAGCUGGGCCUGGUGAUGCGUGCCUGCAAUCCCAGCUACUCAGGAGGCUGAGGCAGGAGAAUCACUUGAACUUGGGAGGCAGAGGUUGCAGUGGGGAGCUGAGAUCACAUCACUGCAUUCCAGCCUGGGUGACAGAGCGAGACUCUCAAAAAAAAAAAAAAAAAAAAAGAAUGAAUGUCUUCAUGAUGGCCUCAAGCACGUUGGUCCCUGAAGAGAGUCAAGGAAGGCCCACUUUACUCUGCACUGCAAAGCAGGCAGGUGGACAGGAAUCUGAGAAGUGGAUUCAGUGAGAGGCAUUGACCCAAAGGAUUUUCUGCCUAAUGGUCGGUCCAGCAGAAGAUUAAACUGAGCACAUCAUCCUGUUCCCUCAAACCAUCUGGUUGUUAGGGUCUCUCUCUCUGCCACCCAGGCCAGAGUGCAGUUGACGCAGGGCAGGGGAGCCCCGAAGUGGAGCAUAGUGUGUUCGGAACUGUUGGGUUCUUGGUCUCACUGACUUCAAGAAAGAAGCCGCGGACCCUCGCGGUGAGUGUCACAGUUCUUAAAGGCGGCGUGUCCAGAGUUUGUUCCUUCUGAUGCUCGGAUGUGUUCAGAGUUUCUUCCUUCUGGUGGUUUUGUGGUCUCGCUGGCUUCAGGAGUGAAGCUGCAGACCUUCAAGAAACUCCUGGAGGGCAGAGGCAGGCCUGCCAUCUUCAUCAUUGCAUUACCACCACCCAACACUAUCGGGGGACCUGCCCUGAUAAUCAGGAGUUUGUUAGAUUACACAUGACCGAUAGUUAACCCAGACCUUACACAGAUUACUCACCACUCGCCGGGGAGUUGAACACGCUUAUCUGUGGACCAAGCCGAUUGACGUUACACCGCACCUACCAAAGCGAAUCCGGUUCCCUCAUGCACUUAGGAAAAAAGAAAGACCACGUGGGAGCCAGAUAUCGGGGGACCUGCCCCGAUAAUCACAUAAGUUCUUUUCUAUUUUCCUAAGCGUCGACUGGCUUGAGAAAUAAAAGGACAGAGUACAAAAGAGAGAAAUUUUAAAGCUGGGCAUCUGGGGGAGACAUCACACAUUGGUAGGAUCUGUGAUGCCCCACAAGCCACAAAAACCAGCAAGUUUUUGUUAGGGAGUUUCAAAAGGGGAGGGAGCAUAUGAAUAGGUGUGGGUGACAGACAUCAAGUACUUAACAGGGUAAUAGAAUAUCACAAGGCAAGUGGAGACAGGGCGAGACCACAGGACCGAAGUGAAAUUAAAAUUGCUAAUGAAGUUUUGGCACCAUUGUCAUUGAUAACAUCUUAUCAGGAGACAGGGUUUUGAGAUCAACCCGUCUGACCAAGGAUUAUUAGGCGGGAAUUUUCUCUUCCUAAUAAGCCUGGGAGUGCUAUGGGAGACUGGAGUUUAUUUCACCUCUGCAAUCUCGACCAUAAGAGACAGGUACGCCCCGGGGGGCCAGUUCAGAGACCUACCCCUAGGUGCGCAUUCUCUUUCUCAGGGACGUUCCAUGCUGAGAAAAGGAAUUCAGUGAUAUUUCUCCCAUUUGCUUUUGAAAGAAGAGAAAUAUGGUUCUGUUCUGCCCGGCUCACCGGCGGUCAGAGUUUAAGGUUAUCUCUCUAAUUCCCUGAACAAUUGCUGUUAUCCUGUUCUUUUUUCAGGGUGCCCACAUUUCAUAUUGCUCAAACACACAUGCUGUACAAUUUAUGUACUUAACGGAAUUAUUACAGGUCCUGAGACGAUAUACAUCCUUCUCGACUGACAGGAUUAAGAAAUUAAAGUAAUGACAGGCAUAGGAAAUCACAAGGGUAUUGAUUGGGGAAGUGAUAAGUGUCCAUGAAAUCUUUACAAUUUAUGUUUAGAGAUUUCAGUAAAGGCAGGCAUAAGAAAUUAAAAAAGUAUUAAUUUGGGGAACUAAUAAAUGUCCAUAAAAUCUUCAUAAUCCACGUUCUUCUGUCAUGGCUUCAGCUGGUACCUCCGUUUGGGGUCCCUGACUUCCCGCAACACAGCACAGUGCCUGGCACAAAAGAGUUGCUCAAUAAAUAAAUCAGGAUGAAUAGAUAAAUACACGGAUAGGCACUUUGAACUACAGAUGAGCUUAAAUACUUUGUGUUUUUCUUAGUCAAACAUGUCCAAUUAAGCAUGUGAUAAAUGUUAUGAUGACCAUACCUGUGUCUUGCCUGAUGUUCUUUGCAAUCACUAAAUGAAUUCAAUUGUUCCUGUUUUGACAGUUCUAUUUUCAACCUAAUGAUCUGUUUAUUUUAACUUCUGGCUGUUGGCUUUGUUUGGGUUUGUUAGCCUGACAAAGUGGUAGAUAUUGGUAUUUGCUCUUUUGUUUAAAUGUCACGAACAUUAAAAAUGCCUUUGCUUUUGGUAAGAAACCCUAGUUAGGACACCCUAGCGGUCAGGAUGAUUUGCGUUCUGGUGCAGUAACAGCAAUCCCCAAAUCUCAGUGGCCUCAUGUAGUGAGGUAUUUGUUUGUUUGUUUUUGAGUCAAGGUCUCACUCUGUCACCCAGACUAGAGUGCAGUGGUGCAAUCUCAGCUCACUGCAACCUCUGCCUCCCAAACUCAAGUGAUUCUCUUGCCUCCUGAGUAGCUGGGAUUACAGGCCCAUGCCACCACUGUCUGGCUAAUUUUUGUACUUAGUAGAGACAGGAUUUCACCAUGUUAGCCAGGUUGGUCUUGAACUCCUGACCUCAAAUGAUCCACCCGCCUUAGCCUGCCAAAGUGCUGGGAUGACAGGCAUGAGCCACCAUGCCUGGCCAGAGUGAGGCUUAUUCUUGGUCACGUUGCAUGUCUGGGCUGUGUUAGGGCAUUGUGGGGUGGUCUGUUCAUUGUGUUCACUCAGGGAUCCAGGCUGACAAAAGCCCCAUCUCUGCAUGUGUCCUUGAUCACCACUUCAGGGGAAAGGGAAUGUGGUGGAUCAUAGAGCCUCUUAACACUUCCACCUGGAGGUGACUCAAGUUGCUGCUGCUCAUGGUUCAUUGGACAAAACGGAUCACAGAGUCAUGGGCAACUUCUCUGUGCCUGGAAGGGGAAACAAAAUAUGAAUAGCCACAUUGAUUUUCCCUAGAUAUUACACAGAAGGCCUCAUUUAAACACAGUUACUUAUUUGUGUUUUGAAGCUAAUUGUAGUCCAUCAAACUUCACAGAAGAUAUGUGCACUUCCAAACUAUUAUUAAGCACAAUUUUUUUUCUUUUUUUUUUUUUUUUGAGACAGAGUCUCACCCUCUUGUCCAGGCUGGAGUGCAGUGGCAUGAUCAUGGAUCGCUGCAACUUCUGCCUCCUGGGUUCAAGUGAUUUUCAUGCGUCAGCCUCCCAAAAUGCUGGGAUUACAGACACCCACAACAACGCCUGGCUAAGUUUUGUAUUUUUAGUAGAGAUGGGGUUUCACCAUGUUGGCCUGGCUGGUCUGGAACUCCUGACCUGAGGUGAUCCACCUGCCUCGGCCUCCCAAAGUGCUGAGAUGACAGGCGUGAGCCGCCGCGCCUGGCCUUGAGUAUGAUUUUUGAUUUGGAAGUUCAGAGUUAGGGUUUUAGUCUGAGGACUGUAUGAUGGGAAGGUGAAAAGCAGAGCUUGGCUGUGAGUUUGCUGGGAUUCCUGUGCUGCUUCUACAGCUCUUUGGCUGUGUGACCGUUACUUUUGGCAAGUUCCUUUACCUUUCUAUGUGUUGGUUUCCUCAUCAAUAAAAUGGAAAAACUAAUCAUAAUCAUAAUAGCUAUUGGUGUUGGGAUAGCCCAGUGGUUGACACAUAAGGACUCAAACAUACUUUUUUUUUUUUUUUUUUUUUUUGAGACGGAGUCUUGCUCUGUUGCCAGGCUGGAGUGCAGUGGUGCAAUCUCGGCUCACUGCAACCUCUGCCUGCUGGGUUCAAGCGAUUCUCCUGCCUCAGCCUCCCGAGUAGCUGGGAUUACAGAUGCCUGCUACCACUCCCAGUUAAUUUUUGUAUUUUUAGUAGAGACGGGGUUUCACCAUGUUGUCCAGGAUGCUCUCGAUCUCUUGACCUCAUGAUCCGCACACCUCAGCCUCCCAAAGUGCUGGGUUUACAGGUAUGAACCGCCGUGCCCAGCUCAAAAAUACUAUUAUUAAUUUUGGGGGGCAGUUAUUAUAUUUUGUGAAAAUCAGAGUUCAGUACCUUGUAACACUGAGUUGGGAUCUAUCCCUGAAGGAACAGGCUUCUAAAGAGGAAGGCAUCGAGAGAGGGGCAAAAUUUUAGUGGACGCUGUAAUGACUUUAGGUAUAUGGACCUGGGGCAGAGUUCUAGCUGGGGCCACCAGGUAGCAAGGUGGACUUUGCUAAAUUCUAUCACUUUCCUGAGCCUCAGCCUCACUUGUUACAAAUGGGGUUAAAGCAUCCCUCUUUCAUAAAGAUGAUUAAGUAAGAGGGAAUGAAAGCAACUUCCAUCAAUGGUCAAAAGUAUUCAUUUAACUUCUUUUUUUUUUUUUUUUUUUUUUUUUUUUUUUUUUUGAGAUGGAGUCUCUCUCUGUUGCCCAGGUUGGAGUGCAGUGGCAUGGUCCCGGGUCACUGCAACCUCCACCUCCUGGGUUCAAGUGAUUCCCUUGCCUCAGUCUCCUGCGUAGCUGGGACUACAGGUGCGUGCCACCACGCCUGGCUAAUUUUUCUAUUUUUAGUAGAGACGUGGUUUUACCAUGUUGGCCAGGAUGGUCUCGACCUCCUGACCUUGUGAUCCACCCACCUUAGCCUCCCAAAGUGUUGGGAUUACAGGCAUGAGCCACCAUGCCUGGCCCAUUUAACUUCUAUAUUACUUUCCUGUUGGUGGAUUUACCAGUGCAAACUGAGCAGCUUAAAACACCACCCAGUUAUUAUCUGUUUCCAUGAGCCAAGGGUCUGGGCAGGGUUUAACUGGGUCUUCUAUUCAGGGUCACAAUACUGCAAACAGAGUGUCAGCUGGGGUCUCAUCAGAUGCUCAGUGUCCUCUUCCAAGCUUAUUCAGUUUGUGGACUGAAUUCAAUUUCUUGCAAUUGUUGAACGAAGGCCCUCAGCUCCUAGAGCUGCCACCUCCAAAGACAGUUCACAGCAUGGCCAUUUAUGUCUCCUUGGAGGCUAAGGGUUGAAUCUCUGAAACUUCACCUUUAAAAGACUCACCUGAUUAGGUCUGGCCCACCUAAGAUCAUCCUGCUUUGGAUGAACUCAAAGUCAGCUGAGCAAAUGUGCUUAACAAAGCAAGCGUGACCAUAAUCACAUUUGCAAAAUUCCUUCCCCUUGGCCAAAUCACAAGCUCUGCACACACUCAAGAAGAGAUGAUACAGGGAGCAGAUAUAAGGGAGUGGUUCUCUUGGGGGCUGUCCUAGAACUCUGCCCAUUACAACUUCCUUUCUCGAGGAACAGCAGGCCUGGGGAGAGAUGAUCACGGAUGAGAGCAGCCCACAGGUUGUGAGCACCAGGUGCUGGAGUAGGAUGCAGGAGGCUGACAAGCAAGUAUGAAAAGCCUUCUCUGGGCUGGGUGGAGUGGCUCACACCUGUAAUCCCAACACUAUGGGAGGCCGAGGUGGGCGGAUCACGAGGUCAAGAGAUCGAGACUAUCCUGGCCAACCAACAUGGGGAAACCCCGUCUCUAAUCAAAAUGCAAAAAUUAGCUGGGAGUGGUGGCAUACGUCUCUAACAACCCAGCUCCCCAAGUGAGCAAUUCCUGUCCCUUUUAAGGGCUCACAACCCUAAGGGGGUCCACAUGAGAGGGUCGUGAUCGUGAGAGAGUCGUGAUCGAUUGACCAAGAAGGGAGUACGUGACUGGGGGCUGCAUUCAGCAAACCCCAUCUCUACUAAAAUAGCAAAAUUCAGCAAAGUCUCAGGAUAAAAAUCAAUGUGCAAACAUCACAAGCAUUCGUAUACACCAAUAACAAACAGAGAGCCAAAUCAUGAGUGAACUCCCAUUCACAAUUGCUUCAAAGAGAAUAAAAUACCUAGGAAUCCAACUUACAAGGGAUGUGAAGGACCUCUUCAAGGAGAACUAUAAACCACUGCUCAACGAAAUAAAAGAGGAUACAAACAAAUGGAAGAACAUUCCAUGCUCAUGGGUAGGAAGAAUCAAUAUCGUGAAAAUGGCCAUACUGCCCAAGGUAAUUUAUAGUUUCAAUGCCAUCCCCAUCAAGCUACCAAUGACUUUCUUCACAGAAUUGGAAAAAAACUACUUUAAAGUUCAUAUGGAACCAAAAAAGAGCUGGCAUUACCAAGUCAAUCCUAAGCCAAAAGAACAAAGCUGGAGGAAUCAGGCUACCUGACUUCAAACUAUACUACAAGGUACAGUAACCAAAACAGCAUGGUACUGGUACCAAAACAGAGAUAUAGACCAAUGGAACAGAACAGAGGCCUCAGAAAUAAUGCCGCAUUAUCUACAACUAUCUGAUCUUUGACAAACCUGGCAAAAGCAAGAAAUGGGGAAAGGAUUCCCUAUUUAAUAAAUGGUGCUGGAAAAACUGGCUAGCCAUAUGUAGAAAGCUGAAACUGGAUCUCUUCCUUACACCUUAUACAAAAAUCAAUUCAAGAUGGAUUAAAGACUUAAAUGUUAGACCUAAAACCAUAAAAACCCUAGAAGAAAACCUAGGCAAUACCAUUCAGGACAUAGGCAUGGGCAAGGACUUCAUGUCUAAAACACCAAAAGCAAUGGCAACAAAAGCCAAAAUUGACAAAUGGGACCUAAUUAAACUCAAGAGCUUCUGCACGGCAAAAGAAACUACCAGCAGAGUGAACAGGUAACCUACAGAAUGGGAGAAAAUUUUUGCAAUCUACUCGUCUGACAAAGGGACCUAUGACUUUCUUAUAACCAAGAGAAUAUGGCAGAGGUGAUGGGAUGUAGUGAUUAUGUUAGAUAGGAUGUUAAGUUGUCUUGCUAGGAGGUUAUCUUGCUGGCUUUGAAGAUGUGAGCUGCCAUGUCAUGAGUGGCCAGAUGGAGAGGCUCAUGUGGCAAGAAGCUGAGGACAGCAAGAACCUGGGGCCCUGAUUCCAGCAGCCUGCAAGGAACUGAAUGCUGCCAACAACCAGAUGAGACGGGAAGCAGAUCAAUCACCAGUCAAGCCUCCAGAUGAGAACUGAGCCCUGGCUGACAUUAUGGUUGCAGCCUUGCACUGAACCCAGCUGAGUCACGCCUGGAUUCCUGACCCACAGAAACCACGUAGUGAUAACUGUGUGCUGUCUCAAGCCACAAAAUUUGCAGUAAUAUUGUUGCACAGCAAUAGAUAACUAAUAUAAAAACUGUCCUACAUCAUGUACAUUACUGAGUGAAAUGUAGGACCUGGAUUUAAGCUCUGAUUUCAGAGUUGUGGUCUCAGUCUCCCCAGGGAGACCUGUCCUGGGAGACAGUUAUGCCAGGCUGUGAUGCUGUGAUGAUUGUUCUCUUCCUACCCAGAAGCUUUCAAUAGGCAUGUCAAGCAUGUGACCCCAGCUACAUAUACCAAAUGUAUUUCUGACAAAUGCCAGGACAUCGUGAGCUUCCUUGUUUUACUGAGAGCUCCAUAAAGGAAGGAUCAUCUCUGUCUCUUUUUUUUUUUUCUUUUUUAAGAGUCUCACUCUCACCCAGGCUGGAGUGUAGUGGUGCGAUCUCGGCUCACUGCAGUCUCUGCCUCCUGGGCUCAAGGGAUUCUCCAGCCUCAGCCUCCUGAGUAGCUGGGAUCAAAGGUGUGCAUCACCGCACCCAGCUAAUUUCAUAUUUUUGGUAGAGACGGGGUUUACUCAUGUUGGCCAGGCAGAUCUUGAACUCCUGGCCUCAAGCGAUUCGCCUACCUCGGCCUACCAAAGUGCUGGGAUUACAGGCAUGAGCCAAUGCACCUGGCCUGUCUUUUUUAUGUUAUGUCCAUGUGAAACAGCCCAGUUGUCAGCACACAAAGGGGUCCAAAUGUGAAAGGAAAGGGCAAACACAGGGGAAACCUAGGGGUGUUCAGAAGUAGUUCCCAGGUCAUUGCCUGUUUCAAUAUGUACAGUCCUGGGCCCCACGCACAUGAUUCUGUCUUGGCAGGUCAGAGUUAGAGAUGGGGAGCUACCUGGUUACGAGGGAUCCCAGUGCAUUUUGAGGCAGCUGGUUGUUAAGACUGCAUUGUAAAAAUUACAACCCAAAGAUGUGAAGGGAAACAGAAAGACAUUGGCAGGCUAGAAAACAACACAAGUAAAACAUGAACAAGUUCAUUCCAGAAGGAGAUUCUCAAUGACAGCUGCACAUCAGAAUCACCUGGGGAGAUUUUAAAACCCCAGUGCCCGGGCUCUGCAGCCCAGAUCAAUUAUUACAGAAUCUCUUGGGGAUGAAACAUGGGCAUCAGUAUUUUUGGUGUGUGUGUGUGUGUGUGUGUGUGUGUGUGUGUGUGUGUGUGUUUGAGACGGAAUCUUGUUCUGUCACCCAGGCUGAAGUGCAGUGGUGCGAUCUCAGCUCACUGCUGCCUCUGCCUCCCGGGUUCAACCCAUUUUCCUACCUCAGCCUCCCAAGUAGCUGGGAUCACAGGUGUGCACCCCCACGCCUGGCUAAUUUUUGUAUUUUUAAUAGAGAUAGGGUUUCACCAUGCUGCCCAGGCAGGUCUCGAACUCCCAGCCUCAGGUGAUCUGCCCGCCUUGGCCUCACACAGUGCUGGGAUUACAGGCACGAGCCAUUGCUCCUAGCAGUAUUUUUUUAAUGAGGCAAAAUUCACAUAACAUAAAGUCCCUGUAUGAAACCAUACACUUCAGUAUCAUUAAAUACAUUCACAAUAUUAAGCAAUCAUCAUCUCUGUCUAGUUCCAAAACAUUUUCAUUAACACCCCCGCCCCCCCAAAAAAUAACCCUGUAUCCAUCAAGCACUCUCCAUCCCCUCCCCUUUCCCCCAGCUCCUGGCAACCACUUACCUGCUUUCUGCCUCUAUAGAUUUGCCUAUUCUGGGCCUUUCACAUAAAUGGAAUCAUGCAAUAUAUAUAAUAACCAAAAGGUAGCAACAACCAAGAUGGCCAUUUGGUUGACGAAUGAACAAACAAUAUGUGCUGUAUCCAUACAAUGGAAAUAUUGGUGCCUACUACAUGUGGAUGGACCUUGGAAACAUCAUGCUAAGUGAGAGAGAGCCUUGGUAUUGUCUCUUCUCCCCAGGAGAUUCCAAGAUGCAGCCAAGGUUGAGACCCCCUGACAAGCAAUGGAUAUGAUUGGGUGCAGAUGAAAUAAGGCAGCCAGGGGCAGGAGGGACGUCUCAUUGAAGAUGAUUAUUUGUGGAUGCCUAGCAGGGGUGGGGAUGAGGUAUGAUAACAGCAACCCCAAUCCCAACACUGCGUGACCGAUUUUAUCUUCAGCCAGCUGAUAUGCCUCAUGGGGUUUGGACACAGGACAACUCUGCCUCCCAGGUUCAAGCAAUAACACCUGCCUCAGCCUCUUAAGUAGCUGGGAUUACAGGCAUGUAUCACCACGCCUGGCUAAUUUUUGUAUUUUUAGUAGAAACGAGGUCUCGUCAUGUUGCCCAGGUUGGUCUCGAACUUCUGGCCUUAAAUGAUCCACCCACCUCAGCCUCCCAUAGUACUGGGAUUACAGGCAUGAGCCACAGUGGCAGCCUCCAAAUUGUAUUUGAAGUUUGACUUUCCACCUCCAGAAAAUCCAACCUUUUCCCAAGUCACAGUGGGACACCCCGGAGUUAAUUUGAGAGAAAUAUGCUUUUAAAAACAACUCCAGGCCAGGCGCAGUGGCUCACGCGUGUAAUCCUAGCACUUUGGGAAGCUGAGGCGGACGGAUCACGUGGUCAGGAGAUCAAGACCAUCCUGGCCAACGUGGUGAAACCCCGUGUCUACUAAAAAUACAAAAAAUUAGCCGGGCAUGGUGGCACUUGCCUGAAAGCCCAGCUACUAGGGGGGCUGAGGCAGGAGAAUCGCUUGAACCAGGGAGUCAGAGGUUGCAGUGAGCCGAGAUCGCGCCACUGCACUCCAGCCUGGCGACAAGGAGAGAUUCCGUCUCAACAUAGAUAAAUAAAACCCUCCGAUAUGAACACCAAACUAGAAUCAUUCCACUGACUUCCCUCCGCCAAUCAGGGGGAGUUAUGGUGAUGGUGCAUGAGUGUCUAUUUGCAUUGAGUCUUAAUGGAAAAAAAGGUUGUGUCACUCAAACGAAAAACAAAUCACAGCCCAGACUGGAGCUGUGGAUGAAUAGCAUGGCUGAGUGUUGGUACAGGCUUUCCACAGCAAUAUUAAAACUGAAAAAAUCAGCAAUGAAGCUCCCAGCCACAUUUCUGCCAAAUGAUUUGGGGGGAAAACAACAGAGGCACUCCUCAACUUUUCCUUCGCUGCACAAAGUGGGUUUGGCUGGAAAUGCCAAGUGUACUUGUUGCUGGGAUCUUUCAAAUGAAAGCAAGCUGGGAGUCAACCUCCUGCAGCCGCAGGCCAGAAAUGGGUUUAGACCAAACUAGUAUAAUAACACUGGUGCACAUCUAAACAGAUUUAACUCACUCCCAGCAAUCCAGAUUAAUUUAAUAUGCUUUCUUAUUGGCAUUCUGCAUUUUUCAUUAAAGCAAAUAAACAUCCAUCCCUCUGUGAUAAGUUAGGGCAAAAAAAAAAAAAUUCAUAUGUUUAGGGCAUAGGGAAGGAGGAGUUGUUGGCUGUUAAAAAAAAAUACUGCAAAUGGCCUUUGAAAGUCUAGACAUCUUCAUCAUAAACACAAACAUUCCUCUUCACAAAGGGACCUCAAGUAACCUUAGGCUGGAUGGCCCACUUGAGUAUGUUUUUCUUCUCAUUCUUUCUUACCUUCCCUCCAGCCAACCCAACCCACAUUCAGUGACCAAGUCACGUGGGUUUUACCUCCUAUAUCUUUUCAGAUCCGUUCACUGCUCAGCCACUCUCCUGACACCACCAUAAACCAAGCCACCAUCACCUCCAACUGUUUGACUGCAAAUGCCUCCUCACUGGCCUCUGUCUUCCCCUGGUCCUGUGACAAUCUGCACUCCGGUCGGAUCAUUACGUUAGGAGAUCCAGACCAUUCUCCCUAACACGGUGAAACCCUGCCUCUACUAAAAAUACAAAAAUUUUAGCUGGGCGUGGUGGCGGGCGCCUGUAGUCGCAGCUACUUGGGAGACUGAGGCAGGAGAAUGGCGUGAACGCGGGAGGUGGAGCUUGCAGUGAGCCGAGAUCGCGCCACUGCACUCCGGCCUGGGCGACAGAGUGAGACUCCAUCUCAAAAAAAAGAAAAAAAAAAUGAUAAAAGGUCACCUUUACUGAGCCCACCCUAUCUCAUUCCAUCCCUACAUCAGUCCUUUAUUUCACCAGUGGGGAAGCUGGGACACAGAGUAGUUAGGUGGGAUGCCCAAGGUGGGACCACUCGUGUGAAGUUUCCACACAGUAAUGUGAGACCCUCCAUGACCUAGCCCCUCUCUUUCUCCAGCCUCAUUUCCUGAUUCUCUCGCUUGGCCUGCAGGCCUCAGCCACACAAACUUCUUGAAAGUCCCUUAAAUCUGGCUGAGCGCAGUGGCUCACACCUGUAAUCUCAGCACUUUGGGAAGCUGAGGCGGCUGGAUCACCUGAGAUCAGGAGUUCGAGACCAGCCUGGUCAACAUGGUGGAACCCCAUCUCUACUAAAUAUCCCAAAAUUAGACAGGUGUGGUGGAUGGCACCUGUAAUCUCAGCUACUCGGGAGACUGAGGCAGGAAAGUCGCUUGGACUCGGGAGGCAGAGGUUGCCGUGAGCCAAGAUCGCACCACUCCACCCAAGCCUGGGCGUCAACAGUGAAAGUCCGUCUCAACAAAAAAAGUCCCUUAAAUCUGCUCUAUGCCUAUCAACCUCAGGGACUUCACUAUGCUGUUUCUCACCCUGAAAUGCUGUUCCUCAUUUCUCUACAUAGUGAACUCAUCCCACCCCCUAGGCCUUUCCUUAAGUGUCAUCACUUCAAGGAAGAUUUUACUUUUUUAAUAUAACUAUUAAAAUAUAAUUCAGGUACCGUAUCAUUUGCCCAUUUAAAGUGAACAAAUCAGUGGUUUCAGUGCAUUCACAGAGCUCGGCAACCACCAUUAUGAUCAAUUUUAAAACAUUUUCAUCACCCCAAAAGGAAACCCUGUAUCCAUGAGCAGGUACCUGCCAUUUCCUCCUCCCACUAAGCCCUGACAAUCUACUUUUUUUGAGAUAGAGUAUCUGUCACAGGCUGGAGUGCAGUGGCACAAUCUCGGCUCACUGCAACCUCCGCCUCCCGGGUUCAAGCAAUUCUCCUGCCUCCCGAGUAGCCGGGAUUACAGAGAUGUGCCACCAUGCCCAUCUAAUUUUGUAUUUUUAGUAGAGUCAGGGUUUCUAUCUUCAUAGAUUUGCGUGUUCUGGACAUUUCAUAUAAAUGACAUCUUAGAAUAUGUGACCUUUUGUGACUGGUUUCUUCCACUUAGCUUAAUAUUCUCAUAGUUCAUCCGUGUUGUAGCCCGUGUUAGUACUUCAUUCCUUUUGAUGACUGAAUAAUAUUCCAUUGCAUAGUCAAACCAUGUUCUAUUUCUCCACUCAUCAGUAGACAAGCAUUUGUGUUGUUUUCACUUUGGCGCUAUUAUGAAUAAUGCUGCUAUGAGCAUUUGUGUACAAGUUUCUGGACGGACAUAUAUGUUCAUUUCUUUCAUAAACUGGAGUGGAAGUGCUGGGUCAUAGAGCUCUGUGUUUAAGCUUUUGAAGAAGUGCCAGACUGUGUAAGAAAGAAAGCCUUUCCUCACCCUGUGAGACUGAGCUCCCUCUCUCCAUUUAUACGUUCUCUUUAAGCCCUUUGCUUCUCUUUCAGAGCAAUUCACGUUGACCUGGGUCACCCUCAACUUAAGGCUCAUAACUCCCCUAGAUCCUCAGGGUCCACACUAAAUGUGAUGAAAUAUGAUGCAAGCCACAUAUUUACUUUUGCAUUUUGUAACAACCACAUUUUUAAAAGUAAAACAAAAGAAGUGAAGGUAAUUGGAAUAAUAUCACAGAUGUAAACAAAUCUAUCCAAAAUACCAGGUCUACAUGUAUAAAAUUUUUUAACAAUAACAAAAUACUUUGCUUUCAUUUUAUAUUAAGUCCUCACAAUCUAAUGUGUAUUUGACACUUCUCGCACAUUUCAGAAUGAUGGCAGCAGCCCAUAUGGGGGGCCCGCCCAUGAUGCCAAUGAUGGGCCUUCCUGCUCCUGGGAUGAUGCCAGUGGGACCUGCUCCUGGAAUGAGGCCGCCCAUGGGAGGCCACAUGCCUGUGAUGCCUGGGUGCCCAAUGAUAAGACCUCCUGCCCGUCUCAUGAUGGUGCCCAGUCAGCCCAGAAUGACUCGACCAGACAGAUAAGGAUAGAGGGGAGGCCUCAUUGCAUCAGUGUUGUUUUGUUGUUGUUAUUGUUGUGUUUUUUUUGUUUGUAAUGUUUUGUUUUGUUUUUGAGACAGAGUCUUCCUCUGUCGCCCAAGCUGGAGGGCAGUGGCAUGAUCUCAGCUCACUGAAACCUCCACCUCCCGGGUUCAAGCGAUUCCCCUGCCUCAGCCUCCUGAGUAGUGUGGGACUACAGGCGUGUUCACCAUGCCCGGCUAAUUUUUUUUAUUUUAGUAGAAACGGGGUUUCACCAUGUUGGCCAGGAUGGUCUCAAUCUCCUGACCUCGUGACCCGCUCGCCUCAGCCUCUGAAAGUGCUGGGAUUAAAGGUGUGAGCCACUGCGCCUGGACUAUAUGAAUUUUAUAUUUACCUGUUCCCUUCACCAGGAGAUCAUGCUGCUGUGAUGUCGGGUUUUCUUAACAGCGUAAGGAAGACUUGCCCCCUUGCCCUAUCAAAGAGAAUAGUUUUGGAGGGGAGAAGUGGGACCAAAAAAGAUGCAGUUUUCAUUUGUAUUGGGAAAUGUGAAAAUAAAAUUGACAACUCUUUCAGUUAAAAACAAAAAAAGAAAAGGAAAGAAGAUGUGGGGCUGCCAUAUGCAAUACCGUGGAUUUCAUGGAUCUUCUACUCUGGAGGCAAAUAUUAUCUUUACUGAAGCCAGACCAACCUGACACAAAGACCUUUUGUUUUUUUAAUGUGACUGUGUUUUAUUUUAGAAUGUGUAAUUCACUUUAGAAGGGUAAAGUACCUGUCUGGGGAAGACUAUUUAAUUUCCUGCAUUUAUUUAGAAUGUUGGCUGAUGUUGUUAUGAAGGGAAACAGCUCUAACAACUGAGUGCCCCCCACAUAGCCACAGCUCAUGAGUUCACGGGGCAAAGGAAUUGAACAGCAGCCUCCUAAUAGCCAGCCUUCUCUGUGAUGUGGAAAUAAUUAUCAGCAUGUAAAAGACUAUAUAUAUAUUCAACAAUUCUGAUCCCCUGAAAAAUUCAAAUCUACAACUGAUUUGCUUCCUGGGCUCCUGAAAACAACUUUGUCAAAAUUGUUCAGAAAUAUAAUCAGCCAAUCGUUGCCCCUUGGGGACGCAGGAUAAAGCAAGUCAGCUAUGACCAAUGUGGAGUCGGCCAUGCACAAUUACAUGCAGACCUGCAUGAUAUCGAGUUCCUGCUAUGGUCCCUCCCCAGUCAGGCCCCCAUUGCCUGGGCUGCAACCAGAAGCAUUCAGGCACAAGUGCAUUCAACAAAUACUUAUUUAAUUGUAUUGGUGGUUAGAGGGUUGCAAUUGAUUAAGGUACAUUAAUGGAUCCAUGUCCUCCCUGUAUCCAAGACUCUGCCAUUUGUCUCUGCAGUUCCUCCCACUGAAGAAUCGGAGUAUAUUUCUCCAGUCCCUAAUGUUGGGUUUUGUAAUGUGUCUAGCUUUGGCCACUGGAAUAUUCAUCUGUAUGACCAACAACUUGGAAAGUGUGCAUUCAUUUGUGCUCACUCACUCCUGCUAUCACCAUGACAACAAGCCCAGGCCAGACUGCUGCUUCCAGCAGAAGAUAAGAGACACCAAGAGCAAAGUCGAGCUUCCCAGACAUGCUCAUGCUAGAUUGACCAAUCCUCAGCUGACCCAUAGAUCCAUGAAAAUAAACGAUUGUUGUAUUAAGCCACUGAGAUUUGGAGUGACUUGUUAUGCAGCAUUUUGUGAAAACAACUAACUGACACAAGGGUCACUGUCCUUUAUCUCUGUAGAUUUUAACCAAUUUUAAUAGCUAGAUGGAGAUCUUCUAGUUGCCUUUAUUUAUAAUGAAUAUGACUGUAGAGCUAGUUUGGCCUGACACUACCAGUAACCUACCCAGAAAUUCAGAAAUACUUUCUUCUCCAACCUGCCCCAACCAACCUUUUGUUUGUUUGUUUGUUUUUGGGUUCUCCCUCUUUGCCUAGGCAAGAGUACAAAUGGUACAGUCAGAGCUCACUGUAGCCUCAAAAUCCUGGGCUCAAGUGAUCUUCCCCUUCAGCCUCCUAUGUAGCUAAGACUACAGACAUGUGCCACCAUGCCUGGCUAAUUUUUUUAUUCUUUGCAGAGAGAGGGUCUCACUAUAUUGCCCAAGUUGGUUUCAAACUCCUGGCCUCAAGCAGUCCUCCUGCCUCACCCUUCCAAAGUGCUAGAAUUAUAGGCAUGAGCCACCACACCCAGCCUCUUCUUCUUUUUAAAUAGAAACUUUAUUUUAUUCUGACAGUGGGUUUCUUUCUUUCUUUUUUUUUUUUAAGAAAAAGUUGGCCCAGCCCCAGGGAAUAAAUUUUGACUGCUCUAAACAACUAUAGACCAAGGGCCAAAUCUGGCCCUCUGACUGUAUAAAUUAACUUUUACUGGAAUAAAACCAGGUCCGUUGAUUUAUCCAUUGUCUACAUACGCUUUUAGGCUACGAUGGCACCACUGCGUCACUACAACAGAGGUUAUUUAGACCAAAAGCCUAAAAUAUUACCGUUUGCCUCUUUAUGGAGAAAGUUUGCCAUUCCCUAUCUAAGGUUUAGAUUCUGAGCUUAUCAUUUUAUCCUACCCGCCCUCACCAGUGACUGGCUCAAAACAAGUCUGUAAUUCCAUUCUGACUGUUCUACUGAGGGAAUUCCCCCUUCUUCUCAUGCAGAACUGAUGAGGGUAAGUUGUAUUAAUAGGACAUACGCUCAGGUUUUCUGAAAAAUACUUUUAUCUAGAAAUGCAUAGGAAUAUGCUGGUGCCUGAAUGUACCAUCCGGGGGCCUGGAGAUUGACUCCCCUGCCUCCACAGCUGGUGCUCACACUUACUACUGAGAGGCCUGAGGAAACACCUGCCUACCCACCACCAGAACCUGCAUAGGUCACCUGGAGAACUAGAGAUCAGCCUGCCACACACACCACCCAGGAGCCCAGUGGUGCACCUGCCCACCUGGCCCAGUGCUGCCACUGCCAGCAACCAAAGAAGCCACCUGGAGACCCAGGGAUUGGCUCACACAGACAGGCUAUCAUCAGUGCCCACAAACGCUGCCCAUGGUCCCUAGUAUUGACACACCUGGUCCACCGCCACUACCACUGAUGCUGAAGGACAAGACUUCCUGGCAUCCCCAUCCUCAGCAAAGCCUCACCACAGCCUCCAAUAACAACUGCCAUCUGGCCAAGUGUGGUGGCUCACGCCUGUAAUACCAGCACUUUGAGAGGCCGAGGCGGGUAGAUCACGAGGUCAGGAGUUCGAGAGCAGCUUGGCCAACAUGGUGAAACCCCGUCUCUACUAAAAAUACAGAAAUUAGCUGGUCAUGGUUGCAUGUGCCUAUACUCCCAGCUACUCAGGAGGCUGAGGCAGGAGAAUUGCCUGAACACGGGAGGCAGAGGUUGCGGUGAGCUGAGAUUGUGCCACUGCACUCCAGCCUGGUGACAGAGUUAGACUCCAUCUCAACAACCAAAAAAAAAAAAAAAAAAAAAAAAAAAAAAAAAAAAAAAAAAAACAACAAAACAAAAAAAAACACUGCAGUCUAAGCCACUGAAUGACUCACAGGCACCACUCAUGCCAAUUACAGCUGAAGGAAUCAUAUGCAGACUAUACCACUGUACCCACCCAGAAUCAAAGCCAAAGUGUGAUAUCCAAUGAACACUGUAGAUACAGCUAUAAGAAAAGGUCUUUCCCAUAUAAAAGCCAAUCCAUAAAAUUGGAAGAAAUGACUGUUAUGUCAGAGGCACAGAUAGUCACAUAAGGAUGCAAGAAAUAUGAAAAAGGAAACAUAACAUCUCCAAAGAAGCACAAUAAUUCUCCAGCAACAGAUCCAAUGAAAAGAAAAUCUAUGAAAUGCCUGAAAAAAUUUCAGAAUAAUGUUAUUAAAGAAACUCACGGAGAUACAAGAGAACACAGAUAAUGAAUACAAAAAAAAAAAAAAAGAAAGAAA